UACGUAGGGGGCUAGCGUUGUCCGGAAUCAUUGGGCGUAAAGCGCGUGUAGGCGGCCCGGUAAGUCCGCUGUGAAAGUCGGGGGCUCAACCCUCGGAUGCCGGUGGAUACUGUCGGACUAGAGUUCGGAAGAGGCGAGUGGAAUUCCCGGUGUAGCGGUGAAAUGCGUAGAUAUCAAGAGGAACACCUGAGGUGAAGACAGGUUGCUGGGCUGACACUGACGCUGAGGCGCGAAAGCCAGGGGAGCAAACGGG
rnacentral:rRNA from 1 species